AGUGUGUAGUGGAGUAGGUGAAGGUAAAGAUGGGAAAUUCUAACAUUUCCCAUUUUUGAUUGACCAGCUUUUGUUUUAGUUAACCAAUGCCUUAUCCAGAAUGUGAUAAAUAUAUAUUUCCCCCCUAAUAUUGUCUUUUCUCUUGAUCAACUAUUUAUUUGUUAAAAUAUUUUGGCAGAAAAAAUUAAAUAAAGACACUAGAACUUGCUGAGCCUGACGUUAAUACUUAUCUGAAAGUUGAAUUAAAAUCACAUGCUAUUGAAAUGGAGAUAAAUAUACCUUAGUUUUCUUCGUUUCACUGUCAGGGUUCUGUGUCAUUUCUUCUUGGGCUCUUCUUCAUAUUUGUUCGUUGGCCAAUAUUUGGUAUAAUCUUGGAGAUAUAUGGCUGUAUAGUUCUCUUUGGUGGUUUUUGGCCAUCUGUCAAGGCCUGUCUCUUUCAGAUUCCAGUUCUUGGAUGGGUUCUACAAUAUCCUGUUCUGCUUCUUGAUCGUAUGAGGAGCUAGCUUUGGUUGAUCGUAGUAAUAUUUUGGGCUGAAUCAAAUAUUGGGAUGGUAAUAUGCUGUUCAUCCCCUGCUUUUAUCCGGUUGCACAGUUUACGAAGAAUUAAAAUAGAAAGUAGUGAAAGCAUGCAUACUUGUUCUCAUGAUUUUAUACAUUGUUUGGGUUGACAGUGGAAGUAGUUGUUAAUACCCAGAAUUGGGAUCAUAUGAUGUUUUUGAUGUUCAACCUUCUUAUCAGAUUCAUGUUUGGGAACACUAACUAGUGUAAAUAGUAGUUUAGUUGAUCUGAUAACUCAUGCAAUGCCAUCUCUUUGUGUGCUACAUUUCAUUUUGCAUUUGACAAUCUCAUGUUUACUGAAUGAAUGUAAUAACAUCUAUUGUUGUUGUGCUA